GGUGGUUAGAGCGCACGCCUGAUAAGCGUGAGGUCGGAGGUUCAAGUCCUCCUCGACCCA
rnacentral:tRNA from 1 species